rnacentral:lncRNA from 1 species
UGAUAUCUUAGUAGCUUUGGGCAGUGCCGGUAAAAAUCACAUGUCUCGAUGUCUGACAUAAGACCAAAAUCUAUGGGUCUGUAAACAGAAGCCAAGGCCUACUCUCUGCUUUGAACCUAUUUAAAUCAGGAUUACAGUUAUAGCUCGUGCUUCGCUGUGUAUGGGUCCUGGCUUUAUGCCCUGUCGGUUAACACGUUGCUAACGGUUGUCAGCGCCGCUAGAUCUCACAUGUUUCGAACAUCAAUACAGGAGAUGCUCACAUACAGUCAAUUAAUACACUAUUAAUCGAUACUGCUUGCAGACAGCACCAGAAAUCAUGUGAACUGAUGUCGAGGUGUUGGGAGACAUUCGGGUUCGGCCCGAGUUGGUUCAUGUGAAAUUAAGAAAGCAUCCAACCCAAACCUCCUGGAAUAUUGCCUUAUUUUCCAGGUAAUGCUAAUUGGGGGUACUGUCUCACGUCUCUGUUAUUUAAUGGGGGAUUGAGCAUGCACCGUAAUCGCCGCCCUUCCCUCCCCUCCGCUCCGGGUCGGUGCGAACAUGGCUUACCAUCUGCUAUCAAUCCAUAAUGAAAAAAUUAUGGGGUCAAAAUCCCCGGAUCCAGUCCUAUUUUCCACCGGCAGGGUUGUGGAGUUACGCGUUUCCUAAUCAGGCAUCCCCCUCAACUCGCGCACCCGUCCCUCUUCCCUAAUUGAUUACGUCUUUCUCCAUCGCUGUCCAUUGCGCCAACUCCAAAUGUACUACAUGUAUAAUACCCAAUGUACCCAACGAUGCUGGUUUCCUCUUUUCACCAUCGUGAACUAUCCAGGACAUCAUUGCAUGCAUGUCCCUUGGACUCUCUUAACGCCCUCAACGUCCAUUCGACUGAUAUAGGGCCCUGCACUCCUCGGUAUCCACCUUCCACCCACUCUUGCCCGCUUUCUACAACACCUUUAUAAUCCAGGUGGGAUGCCCAACCUUUACUCAUCUCAGUAAGCAGCAGUUGCUCCAGGAUAGGGGAUCCCGGACGGCUGGAUGGCAGGAGCCGUACAGCUUUACGGCUGAGCCAGCCAGGAGAUGCAACGCUGGACUACCACCGGCCAUCUACAUUCCUCCUCGUCCCCUGGGAGGUCGAAUUCUCAUUGCUGCGCCUCGGAGGGUAUCACAGGGUUUCCGACACCAGCAUGAAGGUGAGGGAUCCCACACAUCCUCUCGGUGCGUUCUCCUAUAGCCGUAGCCGAUGCCAACUUCAGCACACACCGCAAGGCCCGUGCCACAUCUGGGAAUUGACGAACAAAACGAUCCAAACAGUUCCCCCCUUAGCAUUGGAUCGGGUGGUUUGAGGGAAUAUUGGUCUGGCCGGACGGGUGCUUAACCCUCGAGCAGCGAAAUCUAAAAGUUGUAGGGACUGGUGUCUCCCGAAAUGUUAAAGUAUUGCAAUGGCGGGGGAUAAAUCUACUCAGCCGGAGCUCAAAUUUCCCGGCCCGCGAAUUGGAGCACCAUCACGGGUCGAGUUGCUGUGCACUUGUAUCGGGGCUUACGUCCAGGCGAGCACCAGAAUUGUAACGAAGAGUGGGAACGAGAUACGAAUAUUAAUAUCGCGGAAACGUUUAUAACAGUUUGAAUCGGCUAGAUGGUUCUUGACUUACAACCAAAUGUCCGCCUAGACGGAACUAAUCGGCGGAAGGAUAUACCCCUGAAUGAGUACUGCUGUACGAUAGUACGGCAGGAGUUGUUCCGCCUAUGCGUUACAGGUAAUAGCAAUGAGGAUAUGUUAGUCAUAACCGUAAUUAACGGAAUGCUCAUAACAAGGAUGGAUGCACAAUGGCUGAGCGUACGGCAUCUACCCUACUGAGAUACGCCCGAAGGGUCCUAAGGAUGAGUUUAAUCGAAUGACCCUAAGUUAAUGUCCCAAUGCAAAUACGCGCACGGGCCACAAAUGAAGAGGCAGGCUAGCUCUCAGUUGCAGCAAGAGGUCAGGAUGUGGGGUGGGUGUAUCGGUGGGUUUACUUUAGGGUCCAACCCUAGCCAAGAGAUCCCGGAACGGCAGGUACGGCAUAUACCGAGCGUGGAAAGGAAGCGAAAAGGCAUCUGUAACACAGCAAAGGCGUAACCCUGGACGCUCAGAUGGGCCUUGCGUCGUUACAGCAUCAGAGUAGCGGCUC